AGGCGGGCUUUUAAGUCAGUGGUGAAAUCCCAGAGCUCGACUCUGGAACUGCCAUUGAUACUGGAAGUCUUGAAUUUAGUUGAGGUGGGCGGAAUACGUUAUGUAGCGGUGAAAUGCAUAGAUAUAACGUAGAACACCGAUUGCGAAGGCAGCUCACUAAACUAACAUUGACGCUGAUGGACGAAAGCGUGGGGAGCGAACAGGAUUAGAUACCCUGGUAGUCCACGCCGUAAACGAUGAUUACUCGUUGUGCACAAUACACCGUGCGUGACUGAGCGAAAGCAUUAAGUAAUCCACCUGGGGAGUACGUUCGCAAGAAUGAAACUCAAAUGAAUUGACGG
rnacentral:rRNA from 1 species